GGUUGACCUCGAAUCAGGUAAGAGUACCC
rnacentral:rRNA from 1 species